GACGAACGCUGGCGGCGUGCUUAACACAUGCAAGUCGAACGGAAAGGCCCUGCUUUUGUGGGGUGCUCGAUUGGCGAACGGGUGAGUAACACGUGAGUAACCUGCCCUUGACUUUGGGAUAACUUCAGGAAACUGGGGCUAAUACCGGAUAGGAGCUCCUGCUGCAUGGUGUGGGUUGGAAAGUUUCGGCGGUUGGGGCUGGACUCGCGGCUUAUCAGCUAGUUGGUGGAGUAGUGGCUUACCAAGGCUUUGACGGGUAGCCGGCCUGAGAGGGGGAACGGGGACAUUGGGACUGAGAGACGGACCAGACUCCUACGGGAGGCAGCAGUGGGGAAUAUUGCACAAUGGGCGGAAGCCUGAUGCAGCAACGCCGCGUGCGGGAUGCCGGCCUUCGGGUUGUAAACCGCUUUCGAAUGUGACGAAGCGUGAGUGACGGUAAUGGGUAAAGAAGCACCGGCUAACUACGUG
rnacentral:rRNA from 1 species